AACCAUAUACAGAAAGAGAGAAAGUGUGUUCAAAGUGUUGAACAUAUAUAAAUGAAUAAAAUCAAAGUGUUGGGUCAGCACUUCUAAACCUGUUCGAUCCAUUAAUCGUUUGUUUCAAUUAGGGCUUCCCAAACCCUACGCCAGACAGAAUUCAAUCGCAGAUUCAAAAUCAGUAAACUCAAACCAAUCAAUCAGAAAAAUCGAAGGAACCGAUUCCUGACCGGAGCAUGGCGGAGCACCUGGCAUCGAUCUUCGGGACGGAGAAGGAUCGCGUCAACUGCCCUUUCUACUUCAAGAUCGGCGCGUGCCGGCACGGCGACCGGUGCUCGCGGCUGCACAACCGGCCAAGCAUCUCGCCAACCCUGCUGCUGUCCAACAUGUACCAGCGUCCCGACAUGAUCACGCCCGGCGUGGAUCCGCAGGGGCAGCCGCUGGACCCGCACAAGAUCCAGCAGCACUUCGAGGACUUCUACGAGGACAUCUUCACGGAGCUCGCAAAGUUCGGCGAGAUCGAGAGCCUCAAUGUCUGCGACAAUCUCGCCGACCACAUGAUCGGCAACGUCUACGUCCAGUUCCGCGAGGAGGACCAGGCCGCCAAGGCCCUCCAAGCACUCCACGGACGGUUCUACAACGCCCGCCCCAUCAUCGCCGACUUCUCCCCUGUCACAGACUUCCGCGAGGCCACGUGUCGGCAGUUUGAGGAGAACAGCUGCAACCGCGGCGGAUAUUGCAACUUCAUGCACGUCAAGCUCAUCGGAAGGGACCUCCGCCGGAAGCUCUUCGGCCGCCAUCACCACCGCGGAGGUGGACGCUACCACCACACCAGCCGGAGCCGCAGUCGCAGCCGCAGCAGGAGUCCAAGGCACCGCCGGGAGGGACGGGAGAGGGACUCCCGCAGCGGCGGGAGGCGGGAGUAUAGAGAGAGAGACGGCGGUGGACGACGGAGACACGCCGAGAGUCCCGCCAGAGAAGGGAGCGAGGAACGACGCGCGAGGAUCGAGCAGUGGAAUCGGGAGAGGGAGGAGAAGGAGUGACUUUAUCGAUGAUGGUUUCCGAGAAUGGAACAUCAAUUUCGUUCUCAGAGCUAGGUGCAAUAGGGGGAUUGGUUGUGCAGCGGAUGUUCUUGAGAUGUAGGAAUUGCAUUUCAAAGACUAACGAAGUUGGGGUUUGAAUUGCCUCUUCACUAUAGGUAUAUAAAAGCAUGUUUCGGAGAAAUAUUUUUGAUGAAUCCAAGUGCUAAAUACUGUACAAAAAUGAGACAACUAAGAUGGGCAACUUCUGCUUUGUUAUCCUGGGAUUUUUGCCACUUGGGCUAUGGUGGUAUUUGAGCUCUCCAAACCUAGGUUGACAUCAAGGCUUAGUGGAUGUUUUGGUUUAACUUAUUUAGGAGAAACGAUCGGUCAUUUCUUUUGGCUUUUUGAGAGAUUUUGCUAAAUAAGCUAAUAUUUCUCUAAAUUUAAGUUGAGCCAAGCCAUUAGUUUGUGCUCACUCCAAUUACUUUAGGAUAUGUUUGGGAGUUUGGAUUUGGAAAGGAAGGGAGGGGAGGCAAAUUUUUUAAUUUAUAAUUUUAGAUUAGUAAGAAAUUAACCCAUAUAUCUCCGACAUAAUUUUUAUAAACUUAUAUGUUUGCCCUCCUCACUGUUCUCCUUCAAAACCCAUGGGACAAUUUAGCCAUAGGGACCACUAGGCAUUGUGACUGAGGUUUUCUAUGGGGGUUUUAACUUGUUCUUCACGCAUCAGUUAGGAAGGAACAGGAAUUAUCAUCUUCUGAUAUCAUAUAAAGUGCAAGCAGUUUAGGUUUCUGAAACCAGGAUGAGGCCGGACAGAUGUACAGAGCAAUAUGUUCCCAUUUUUGGUUAGACUACCUACCUUAACUCCUGUAACAGUUGAAUUUUCUACCAUCUUACCAUGCUUGAGUUCAUUUUUUAAAGCGGGAGAGGUUUUGACUCUGGUAUGUUUGGUUGAGGUGAAAGAAAAUCAUGAUGGGGAUAUUUUUUUCUGUUUGAUUAGCAAAACGGGAAGGAGAAGAGUGAACUGGAUUUGUUAAAUUAAGUUUCAAUCAUUUCUUUCACUUUCCCUUUAAA